rnacentral:lncRNA from 1 species
GGAUCGCCAUUAUCAAGAACUAGUAGCCCAAAAAAAAUAUUUAUACAAAUACACAAGAUCAAUGUUUGCUGAACCAACCUAAACAGGUAGCCGUACUUGUACCGAACCAAACCGACAACAAAACAAGAUUAGUUUGCUGUUCAAGUCACUUCAUUUAUAAAAUCUUCACCAACCCUACAUGGCUCAAGGUUUAAGAGAGCUCUUGAGUUCAAGCUCUCGAGUUCAACAUCUCUCACUCACUCACUCUCUCCACUAUUUGAUGUCAACCGGCACCUUUCUUUCUCUUCAAUAGGGGUUGAUGCCUCUCUCUC